rnacentral:rRNA from 1 species
UACGUAGGGUGCAAGCGUUGUCCGGAAUUAUUGGGCGUAAAGAGCUUGUAGGCGGUUUGUCGCGUCUGCUGUGAAAUUUCGGGGCUCAACCCCGAACUUGCAGUGGGUACGGGCAGACUAGAGUGUGGUAGGGGAGACUGGAAUUCCUGGUGUAGCGGUGAAAUGCGCAGAUAUCAGGAGGAACACCGAUGGCGAAGGCAGGUCGCUGGGACGGUACUGACGCUGAGGCGCGAAAGCGUGGGGAGCGAACAGG